rnacentral:lncRNA from 1 species
CUACACAUGUAUGAUGAGGCCCACCAUGCGCAUAAUGAGGCCACCACCAGACCACUGAUGCAUCGGACAAAAGGCAUGCCCACUGACAGGGCCAUUUAAAGAUGCCCCCAUGCAGCUCCGUAUGAUUGGAUGUUAUCGAAAUAUAUUUUCAUCCUUUCGUCCUUCAUUCUGCUCUAUCUAUAAAUGGAGGUAAGAAAAGACUCCCAGC